UGUAUCACCUGAGACUGAAAUCAGUGGUAAACAUAUCUCCACAAGACAUGUACAACAUGGGUGAGUAAUGGGGCUGCAGACUUCUCCAUGCUGCUCCACCAAUCUGCCUCAGGCCUGUUCUGGAGGGAUGAACUCUUGGGUUAAGAGAAUAGUUCAGUCUGUCUAAGGUAUUUACAUGGCCCUC
rnacentral:sRNA from 1 species